UGGAUUAGGCAUGCAAGUCGCGGGAAUCCCAGCAAUGGGGGAACCGGCGUAAGGGGCAGUAAGGCGUGGGUACCUACCUUGGGAUCCGGGAUAGCCGUCCGAGAGGGCGGGUAAUACCGGAUGAUCUCGAGAGAGCAAAGCUCCGGCGUCCCGAGAGGGGCCCACGUGAUAUUAGCUAGUUGGCGGGGUGACGGCCCACCAAGGCGGAGAUGUCUAGCGGGUGUGAGAGCACGACCCGCGCCACUCGCACUGAGACACUGGCGAGACACCUACGGGUGGCUGCAGUCGAGGAUCUUCGGCAAUGCGCGCAAGCGCGACCGAGCGACGCCGCGUGGGCGAUGAAGGCCUUCGGGUUGUAAAGCCCUGUCGAGGGGGAGAGAAGCGGGAAACCGUGUGAUCUAUCCCUGGAGGAAGCUCGGGCUAAGUUCGUGCCAGCAGCCGCGGUA
rnacentral:rRNA from 1 species